rnacentral:rRNA from 1 species
AGAGUUUGAUCCUAGCUCAGGAUGAACGCUGGCGACGUGGAUAAGGCAUGCAAGUCGAACGGUUUUUAUUUCUUGCUUGCAAGAAGUAGAAAUAGUGGCGAACCGGUUAGUAACACGUAGAUAACCAACCCCUUACUCGGGGAUAACUUGAAGAAAUUCAAGCUAAUACCCGAUGGUCUGAAACUUGUUCUUAGAUUAUUAAAUUAGUUUAAGAUCAGGUUUCAGUAAAGGUUUAUUCCGGUAAGGGAUGGGUCUGCGCCCUAUCAGCUUGUUGGUAAGGUAAUGGCUUACCAAGGCUAUGACGGGUAGGCGGAGUGAGAGCUUGUCCGCCAACAAUGGCACUGAGACACUGGCCAUACUCCUACGGGAGGCUGCAGUCGAGAAUAUUGGUCAAUGGACGAAAGUCUGAACCAGCGACGUCGCGUGUAGGAAUAAGAUCUUCGGAUUGUAAACUACUUUUAUAAGGGAAGAAUCUUUUAGAUGACGGUACCUUAUGAAUAAGGGGUGACAAAACUCGUGCCAGCAGUAGCGGUAAUACGAGUGCCCCAAGCGUUAUCCGGAUUAAUUGGGCGUAAAGGGUCCGUAGGCGGUUUGUUAAGUUUUUCGUUAAAUCUCCAGGGCUUAACUUUGGAGUUGCGGAAAAAACUAACAGACUAGAGGAUGUUAGGGGCUAGCGGAAUGUCUGGUGUAGGGGUGAAAUCCGUUGAUAUCAGAUGGAACACCAAAAGCGAAGGCAGCUAGCUGGGGCAAUCCUGACGCUCAGGGACGAAAGCGUGGGGAGAAAAGAGGAUUAGAUACCCUCGUAUUCCACGCCAUAAACGAUGAGCACUAGCUAUUGCAAGUGUCGACCCUUGCAGUGGCUAAGCUAACGCGUUAAGUGCUCCGCCUGGGAAGUACGGCCGCAAGGCUAAAACUCAAAGGAAUAGACGGGGACUCACACAAGCGGUGGAUCACGUGGCUUAAUUCGACUCUAAGCGAGGAACCUUACCAAGGCUUGAAACUCUAAUGCAAUCCUUCCGAAAGGAAGGCCCUCCGCAAGGACGUUAGAGCAGGUGCUGCAUGGUUGCCGUCAGCAGGUGGCUUGAGUUGCUCCCUUAAAUGGGGUAACCUGCGCAACCCUUGCCCUAUGUUUUAAAUGUCAUGGGGGACUGCCUAGGACAACUAGGAGGAAGGUGAGGAUGACGCCAAAUCAGCAUGGCCCUUUGAUGCCUUGGGCUGCACACGUGAUACAAUGGAAAUGACAAAGGGAUGCGAAAAGGUAACUUGAAGCAAAUCCCAACAAACAUUUUCUCAAUUCGGAUUGAGGUCUGCAACUCGACCUCAUGAAGUCGGAAUCGCUAGUAACCGUAGAUCAGCCAUGCUACGGUGAAUGUGUCCCUGGGUCUUGUACUCACCGCCCGUCACGUCAAGCGAGCUGGGGGUGCCCGAAGUCCCAUUUUAAUGGGCCGAAGGUAAAUUCAGUGAGAAGGACGAAGUCGUAACAAGGCACGGGUAGCGGAAGCUGCUCGUG